rnacentral:piRNA from 1 species
GCAAAACACAGUACCGAAAUGGUGAGG